rnacentral:rRNA from 1 species
GGAUUCGCUAGUAAUCGCGCAUCAGCCAUGGCGCGGUGAAUACGUUCCCGGGCCUUGUACACACCGCCCGUCAAGCCAUGGGAGCUGGGGGGUGCCUGAAGUUCGUGACCGCAAGGAUCGACCUAGGGCAAAACCGGUGACUGGGGCUAAGUCGUAACAAGGUACC